CCUACGGGAGGCAGCAGUGGGGAAUAUUGCGCAAUGGGCGAAAGCCUGACGCAGCGACGCCGCGUGAGGGAUGAAGGUCUUCGGAUCGUAAACCUCUGUCAGCAGGGAAGCACGGUCACUGUGCUAAUCAGCAGUGAAUUGACGGUACCUGCAAGGGAAGCACCGGCUAACUCCGUGCCAGAAGCCGCGGUAAUCCGGAGGGUGCGAGCGUUAAUCGGAAUUACUGGGCGUAAGGCGCUCGUAGGCGGUAGGUCAAGUCAAGGGUGAAAUCCCCGCGCUCAACGGGGGAACUGCCAUUGAAACUGGCAAACUGGAGUGUGUGAGCGGUGAGUGGAAUGCGAGGUGUAGGAGUGAAAUGCGUAGAUAUCU
rnacentral:rRNA from 1 species